rnacentral:rRNA from 1 species
GUGGGGAAUUUUGGACAAUGGGGGCAACCCUGAUCCAGCCAUGCCGCGUGCGGGAAGAAGGCCUUCGGGUUGUAAACCGCUUUUAGUCGGGAAGAAAAGGCGCGGCCUAAUACGUCGCGUUCUUGACGGUACCGGCGGAAUAAGCACCGGCUAACUACGUGCCAGCAGCCGCGGUAAUACGUAGGGUGCGAGCGUUAAUCGGAAUUACUGGGCGUAAAGCGUGCGCAGGCGGUUCGUUAAGUCUGAUGUGAAAGCCCCGGGCUCAACCUGGGAAUGGCAUUGGAAACUGGCGGGCUUGAGUGUGGCAGAGGGGGGUGGAAUUCCGCGUGUAGCAGUGAAAUGCGUAGAGAUGCGGAGGAACACCGAUGGCGAAGGCAGCCCCCUGGGCUAACACUGACGCUCAGGCACGAAAGCGUGGGGAGCAAACAGGAUUAGAAACCCUAGUAGUCC